rnacentral:rRNA from 1 species
ACGGGUGCGGAACACGUACACAACCUUCCUUUUAGUGGGGGAUAGCCCAGAGAAAUUUGGAUUAAUACCCCGUAACAUGUUGGUGAGGCAUCUCACUGAUAUUAUAGUGGCAACACGCUAGAAGACGGGUGUGCGUAUGAUUAGGUAGUUGGCGGGGUAACGGCCCACCAAGCCUUCGAUCAUUAACUGGUGUGAGAGCACGACCAGUCACACGGGCACUGAGACACGGGCCCGACUCCUACGGGAGGCAGCAGUAAGGAAUAUUGGUCAAUGGAGGAAACUCUGAACCAGCCAUGCCGCGUGGAGGAUGAAGGUCCUCUGGAUUGUAAACUUCUUUUAUAUGGGACGAAAAAAGGGAAUUCUUUCUCGACUGACGGUACCAUAUGAAUAAGCACCGGCUAACUCCGUGCCAGCAGCCGCGGUAAUACGGAGGGUGCAAGCGUUAUCCGGAUUCACUGGGUUUAAAGGGAGCGUAGGUGGGUUAGUAAGUCCGUGGUGAAAUCUCUGAGCUUAACUCGGAAACUGCCAUGGAUACUAUUAGUCUUGAAUAUUGUGGAGGUUAGCGGAAUAUGUCAUGUAGCG